GGGUCGUUAGCUCAGUUGGUAGAGCAGCAGACUUUUAAUUUGUUGGUCCCGCGUUCGAGCCGCGGACGACCCACCA
rnacentral:tRNA from 1 species